AUUGAACGCUGGCGGCGUGCCUAACACAUGCAAGUCGAGCGGUAACAGGUGUAGCAAUACAUGCUGACGAGCGGCGGACGGGUGAGUAACGCUUGGGAAUCUGCCUAUUAGUGGGGGACAACCCGGGGAAACUCGGGCUAAUACCGCAUACGCUCUACGGAGGAAAGCCGGGGACCGCAAGGCCUGGCGCUAAUAGAUGAGCCCAAGUCGGAUUAGCUAGUUGGUAGGGUAAUGGCCUCCCAAGGCGACGAUCCGUAACUGGUCUGAGAGGACGACCAGUCACACCGGAACUGAGACACGGUCCGGACUCCUACGGGAGGCAGCAGUGGGGAAUAUUGGACAAUGGGCGAAAGCCUGAUCCAGCGACGCCGCGUGGGUGAAGAAGGCCUGCGGGUUGUAAAGCCCUUUCACCCACGACGAUGAUGACGGUAGUGGGAGAAGAAGCCCCGGCUAACUUCGUGCCAGCCGCCGCAGUAAU
rnacentral:rRNA from 1 species